AUGGUAUCAAAAACAAAGCAACUCUUAUCCUUGAGAGGAUUGAGAGGUGCCUCUUGCAAGGAUUUCCCUGAGAGGAAAAGUCUCUUCUCCAUGUGUUUCGGGAUUGCAUUAUUGCAAAACCUAUGUGGUUGUACUUGGUUGCAAAUAAAAAGCCCUCAAAGUUCUACAACCAAAUUGAUUAAAGUUAAAGCGAAAAGGGCAUUUGAAGCAAAGAUUGUGGAUUGCGGCUGA